rnacentral:lncRNA from 1 species
UCUGUUUGGACCACUCUUAUUCUCAGAGGGCUUAUGACAAAUUGCAAAAGAGCAAAGCAUUCAUACCCAAAUACCAAGCUAUAUUGAGACAGACUCAACACGAAUAAAUUUAUAAUACAGUUAAGUUGCAUGACCACAUUCCAUAAUUCAGUUACAAUACAAUAAUCUAUUUAAUCCGACUGAAAACAGCCACAUCACAUUGAGUCAGACGAUCAAACAUACAGACAUAUAAAGAAAAAUUGUGAAUAAAUAAUAUCAUCUGAUGCAAUGCUUCAAACUCCUAUUUUCAUUUCAUUUGUUCACUUCAUAACCAAAUAGUUAUAAAGUUAUGUACCUGGAAAUGAGAAAUAUAGAUUAAGGGUUAUCAGCAGCAGCGAGCAAAGAUCAGCAGCAGGAAAAUAAUUCAAUGAACCAAUUUUAGAACCCAGAACACAAAGUUGAACUGGCUUACUAAAACAGUUCACUUGGAUAUAACCCAGAAACUACAAAGUCAGACCCUAAACAAGAUUCAAUCCCUUCUAUAAACCUCAAACGGACCAGAAAAUGCUUCAAGUUUAGAGAAAUUUAAAAAACUACCAAACAGGAGAAAUGAACCACUGUUUUUCUUUCAGCUAUUUUUAAGCUUUUGAUUUUCCUACUCAACUCUGCCAAAGGCAAAGUUUUGUAGCUUUUUCAUACGUAUCUCCUGGGUUUCAACCCCCUAGAGACUUCUUUCAACUUACUAUAGAUGGACCUAAUGUAAUAGUAUUUUUUUUUCUUUUUGUGUGAGUUUUUCUGUAUUUUUU